UUCGCUUCUCACCCUUUUGGUAAGAUCAAAGUGUCUUGCAACUGUUCUCAUAACCUCAAUAUUUGAUACAAGGACCAUGUGUCCUCCUCCAAAUUAAACUUAUUUCUGUUAAGGGAUAGAUGUGUGGCGCUUUCACUGUCUCCACUAUGAGUAGACCUGGUAUUGCAGUACCUCCACAAAAUUUAACUUAA
rnacentral:snRNA from 1 species